AAAUAAGUUCAUAAAAAUAAUUUUGUUCUCUUUUCGGUGUUGUAAGUUGUAGACGUCCCUAAGCACUCUGACUGCCGGUAGCAGUAGCAGCAGGGAGUAGAGGCCAGCAUGCAAGUGUUAAAUAGACUCCUGGUGUACUUAAAAACUUUACAAUUCAUUGUUUUAUGAGUACAUAACCUAUGUGUACUACUGUAGAAGUUUGGUAUCAAUUUGGGCAUUAUUAGUGGGGUAAUGUUAAGAGAC